rnacentral:misc_RNA from 1 species
AGCAGCCGCGGUAAUUCCAGCUCCAAUAGCGUAUAUUAAAGUUGUUGCAGUUAAAAGCUCGUAGUUGAAUUUCGGAAUCAAUGGAUCGGUCAUGCCACUCGGUGUGUACUGGUUUGAUUGGUUCUCACCUUCUAAGGAACCGUGAUGUCAUUAAUUUGGUGUCGCGGGGAAUUAGGACUGUUACCUUGAAAAAUUAGAGUGUUUAAAGCAAGCUCACGCUUGAAUACAUUAGCAUGGAAUAAUGAAAUAGGACAUUGUAUUCUAUUUUGUUGGUUUCUAGGAUCGAUGUAAUGAUUAAUAGGGAUAGUUGGGGGCAUUAGUAUUCAAUUGUCAGAGGUGAAAUUCUUGGAUUUAUGAAGACUAACUACUGCGAAAGCAUUUGCCAAGGAUGUUUUCAUUAAUCAAGAACGAAAGUUAGGGGAUCGAAGACGAUCAGAUACCGUCGUAGUCUUAACCAUAAACCUAUAGCCGACUAGGGAUCGGAUGAUGUUAAUUUUUAAUGUACUUCAUUCC